rnacentral:rRNA from 1 species
UACGUAGGUGGCAAGCGUUGUCCGGAUUUACUGGGCGUAAAGAGCGCGCAGGCGGUCGUUCAAGUCGAGUGUGAAAGCCCCCGGCUCAACUGGGGAGGGUCACUCGAUACUGAUCGACUCGAAGGCAGAAGAGGGAAGCGGAAUUCCCGGUGUAGUGGUGAAAUGCGUAGAUAUCGGGAGGAACACCAGUGGCGAAGGCGGCUACCUGGACAGUGAUUGACGCUGAGACGCGAAAGCAUGGGUAGCAAACAGG